rnacentral:rRNA from 1 species
CGCGGCCUANCAGCUUGUUGGNGGGGUAAUGGCCUACCAAGGCGACGACGGGUAGCCGACCUGAGAGGGUGACCGGCCACACUGGGACUGAGACACGGCCCAGACUCCUACGGGAGGCAGCAGUGGGGAAUAUUGCACAAUGGGCGAAAGCCUGAUGCAGCGACGCCGCGUGAGGGAUGACGGCCUUCGGGUUGUAAGCCUCUUUCGACAGGGACGAAGCGCGAGUGACGGUACCUGUAGAAGAAGCACCGGCCAACUACGUGCCAGCAGCCGCGGUAAUACGUAGGGUGCGAGCGUUGUCCGGAAUUACUGGGCGUAAAGAGCUUGUAGGCGGUUCGUCGCGUCGAUUGUGAAAACUUGCAGCUCAACUGCAAGCUUGCAGUCGAUACGGGCGGACUAGAGUACUUCAGGGGAGACUGGAAUUCCUGGUGUAGCGGUGAAAUGCGCAGAUAUCAGGAGGAACACCGGUGGCGAAGGCGGGUCUCUGGGAAGUAACUGACGCUGAGAAGCGAAAGCGUGGGUAGCGAACAGGAUUAGAUACCCUGGUAGUCCACGCCGUAAACGGUGGGUACUAGGUGUGGGUUUCCUUCCACGGGAUCCGUGCCGUAGCUAACGCAUUAAGUACCCCGCCUGGGGAGUACGG